rnacentral:lncRNA from 10 species
CCACACACAGCAAGAAAGAUACAUCUGACCAGCCUCAACGUCAACGUAUUUCCCCUCUCACCCUGGCUUCCAGGCAGCUCUGAAAUACGUCCCACCUGUGCAGCUAUGUGACUCCCUCCCACACACGCUUAAGACACCUCUGCAUGCAGUCAAAGCCACUGUCACAAGCCGGCAGGCACUGAGAUGGGGUCUUGCUACGUUGCCCACACUGCUCUCCAACUACUGGCCUCAAACGAUCCUCCUGCCUCGGCCUCCCAAAGCACUGGAAUUUCAGGCAUGCACUAUCGUACUGGCUGUUCACCCCCCUUUUAUUCCUCUUUAAUUUUUACAAGCACUUUUUA